rnacentral:tRNA from 1 species
GUUUUAAUAGUUUAAAAAAAACAUGGAUAUUGUAAAUCUAAAUUUAAUAAUCUUUAUAAAAACA